rnacentral:rRNA from 1 species
GAGUGGCGAACGGGUGAGUAACACGUGGGUAACCUGCCCAUCAGAAGGGGAUAACACUUGGAAACAGGUGCUAAUACCGUAUAACACUAUUUUCCGCAUGGAAGAAAGUUGAAAGGCGCUUUUGCGUCACUGAUGGAUGGACCCGCGGUGCAUUAGCUAGUUGGUGAGGUAACGGCUCACCAAGGCAACGAUGCAUAGCCGACCUGAGAGGGUGAUCGGCCACACUGGGACUGAGACACGGCCCAGACUCCUACGGGAGGCAGCAGUAGGGAAUCUUCGGCAAUGGACGAAAGUCUGACCGAGCAACGCCGCGUGAGUGAAGAAGGUUUUCGGAUCGUAAAACUCUGUUGUUAGAGAAGAACAAGGAUGAGAGUAAAAUGUUCAUCCCUUGACGGUAUCUAACCAGAAAGCCACGGCUAACUACGUGCCAGCAGCCGCGGUAAUACGUAGGUGGCAAGCGUUGUCCGGAUUUAUUGGGCGUAAAGCGAGCGCAGGCGGUUUCUUAAGUCUGAUGUGAAAGCCCCCGGCUCAACCGGGGAGGGUCAUUGGAAACUGGGAGACUUGAGUGCAGAAGAGGAGAGUGGAAUUCCAUGUGUAGCGGUGAAAUGCGUAGAUAUAUGGAGGAACACCAGUGGCGAAGGCGGCUCUCUGGUCUGUAACUGACGCUGAGGCUCGAAAGCGUGGGGAGCGAACAGGAUUAGAUACCCUGGUAGUCCACGCCGUAAACGAUGAGUGCUAAGUGUUGGAGGGUUUCCGCCCUUCAGUGCUGCAGCAAACGCAUUAAGCACUCCGCCUGGGGAGUACGACCGCAAGGUUGAAACUCAAAGGAAUUGACGGGGGCCCGCACAAGCGGUGGAGCAUGUGGUUUAAUUCGAAGCAACGCGAAGAACCUUACCAGGUCUUGACAUCCUUUGACCACUCUAGAGAUAGAGCUUCCCCUUCGGGGGCAAAGUGACAGGUGGUGCAUGGUUGUCGUCAGCUCGUGUCGUGAGAUGUUGGGGUAAGUCCCGCAACGACCGCAACCCUUAUUGUUAUUUGCCAUCAUUUAGUUGGGCAAUCUAGCGAGACUGCCGGUGACAAACCGGAGGAAGGUGGGGAUGACGUC